AUUCCAUGAUGAGGGCACUUCCAUAAUAAUUCUUUGUACCUUUCCCAUGCCUCAUACAAGGACUCAUCAUCCAUUUGUU
rnacentral:snoRNA from 1 species